GGGUUGUGAGGUUAAGCGACUAAGCGUACACGGUGGAUGCCCUGGCAGUCAGAGGCGAUGAAGGACGUGCUAAUCUGCGAAAAGCGCCGGCGAGGUGAUAUGAACCCUUGACCCGGCGAUGUCCGAAUGGGGAAACCCAGUGCAAUCCGUUGCACUAUCGUUAACUGAAUACAUAGGUUAACGAGGCGAACCGGGGGAACUGAAACAUCUAAGUACCCCGAGGAAAAGAAAUCAACCGAGAUUCCCCCAGUAGCGGCGAGCGAACGGGGAGCAGCCCGGAGUCUGAAUCAGCUUGUGUGUUAGUGGAACGGUCUGGAAAGUCCGACGGUACAGGGUGAUAGUCCCGUACACGAAAGCACACUUGCUGUGAACUCGAAGAGUAGGGCGGGACACGUGGUAUCCUGUCUGAAUAUGGGGGGACCAUCCUCCAAGGCUAAAUACUCCUGACUGACCGAUAGUGAACCAGUACCGUGAGGGAAAGGCGAAAAGAACCCCGGCGAGGGGAGUGAAAAAGAACCUGAAACCGUGUACGUACAAGCAGUGGGAGCCUCUUUAUGGGGUGACUGCGUACCUUUUGUAUAAUGGGUCAGCGACUUAUAUUCUGUAGCAAGGUUAACCGUAUAGGGGAGCCGAAGGGAAACCGAGUCUUAACUGGGCGUUAAGUUGCAGGGUAUAGACCCGAAACCCGGUGAUCUAGCCAUGGGCAGGUUGAAGGUUGGGUAACACUAACUGGAGGACCGAACCGACUAAUGUUGAAAAAUUAGCGGAUGACCUGUGGCUGGGGGUGAAAGGCCAAUCAAACCGGGAGAUAGCUGGUUCUCCCCGAAAGCUAUUUAGGUAGCGCCUCGUGAACUCAUCUUCGGGGGUAGAGCACUGUUUCGGCUAGGGGGCCAUCCCGGCUUACCAACCCGAUGCAAACUACGAAUACCGAAGAAUGUUAUCACGGGAGACACACGGCGGGUGCUAACGUCCGUCGUGAAGAGGGAAACAACCCAGACCGCCAGCUAAGGUCCCAAAGUCAUGGUUAAGUGGGAAACGAUGUGGGAAGGCACAGACAGCCAGGAUGUUGGCUUAGAAGCAGCCAUCAUUUAAAGAAAGCGUAAUAGCUCACUGGUCGAGUCGGCCUGCGCGGAAGAUGUAACGGGGCUAAACCAUGCACCGAAGCUGCGGCAGCGACGCUUAUGCGUUGUUGGGUAGGGGAGCGUUCUGUAAGCCGUUGAAGGUGUGCUGUGAGGCAUGCUGGAGGUAUCAGAAGUGCGAAUGCUGACAUAAGUAACGAUAAAGCGGGUGAAAAGCCCGCUCGCCGGAAGACCAAGGGUUCCUGUCCAACGUUAAUCGGGGCAGGGUGAGUCGACCCCUAAGGCGAGGCCGAAAGGCGUAGUCGAUGGGAAACAGGUUAAUAUUCCUGUACUUGGUGUUACUGCGAAGGGGGGACGGAGAAGGCUAUGUCAGCCGGGCGACGGUUGUCCCGGUUUAAGCAUGUAGGCGGAGGUUCCAGGUAAAUCCGGUACCUUAUUAACGCUGAGGUGUGAUGACGAGGCACUACGGUGCUGAAGUGAUAAAUGCCCUGCUUCCAGGAAAAGCCUCUAAGCAUCAGGUAACACGAAAUCGUACCCCAAACCGACACAGGUGGUCAGGUAGAGAAUACCAAGGCGCUUGAGAGAACUCGGGUGAAGGAACUAGGCAAAAUGGUGCCGUAACUUCGGGAGAAGGCACGCUGAUGUGUAGGUGAAGCCCCUGCGGACGGAGCUGAAAUCAGUCGAAGAUACCAGCUGGCUGCAACUGUUUAUUAAAAACACA
rnacentral:rRNA from 1 species